AGGGGGCCCCAAGACCUUUUUUUUCAACAGGUUUAAACCUAUAACAAGGGACAGAAAACUGGACAAUGCUGUCAAAGAAAUAUUGCUGAUACAAGACUUCUACCAUUAUGGGGAGCCACGACAUGGAUGAGGCCUUUUUUCUUGACAUACCAGAUUCUGCACUAGAAUGUUUAAAGUUUGAACAAGAUGGAAGUCAAAACCAGCAGAUAGGUUUUCCUGAGAUUACAGAAGAUGGUAUGAACUGUUUUUUAAAUACGUGUUUGAAAUAACUGUUAUUGGAAAUAGUGUACAUUUUUUAGGGGUUGUGCAUUACUACAGGUAUUGGGGUUUAUGUUUGUUGUUGUUAGUAAAAGAAAGAGGUUGCCUUUGCCCCAAAGGUUUUACUGUAAA